AGUGGGAUAGCUGGGUUAAAUGGUGGUUCCAUUCUAAGUUUUCUAAGGAAUCUCCAUACUGCUUUCCAGAGUGGUUGCACCAAUUUUCAGUCCCACCAGCAAU
rnacentral:pre_miRNA from 1 species